AGGAGCUUCUGGGAGGCAAAGCGGAAGAUGAAGGAGUCGCGUUACGAUACGUUUCACUCGCUCUUGCAGAAAUCUUGAGAUACUAACGUUUUCUGCCUUACUCACAGCCUUAAAUACUUUGGUUUAUUGUUGUGGUUGCUUGCCCUUUGUUCUCUGGGAUGUUAAUGCUAUUUCUUCAGACGAACCAAACAGUUCUAGGGAACUUCCGCCACGUUCUUGCCUUCUUUGAGGGGACGCCUCCGUGAUUUACGUAGCCAGAUUGCGCUAUUUGACUCAAUUUGGCUGAAAGCCUUUAGACGUCUUUGUAUUCUUGGCGCCCGGAAACAAUUCCACUUACACUGUCCAUUAAGCACUUGUUGGAACAGUUUCAAUUUGAGAAAUUUUGCAAAAGAUUUUGGUUUUAACAGCAUGUGGUAAAGUCUCAAAUUUAUUUUCCAUACGUUUAACAUAGGUUUUUUUUUUUUUUUUUUUUUUUAAGUCUCUCAUAACUCUUGGCCAUUUAUUUUCCACUAACACAGAUUUUUUAAAAUUUUAAUCUCUCAAAACUCUUGGCCUAACUCUUGUUUGUUUCCUAGUUGUCCAAUGAUAAAUGUGGCUUCAACAAUGCCAGGGUAGACUCUGCAGUUUGCGAUCGUUGGACCUAUAUUUCUAGCUGAAACUCACACAACGUUGUACUCCAAUCAAAAUCAAAACAAAACAAAAUGAAAAAAACCAACCGUAUCCUGGCUGAUACCCAGAGCUGCCUUACUUGAGCAGUAGAGAGUGUGUAUUCUUCUAAGAAAGUCUCUCAGUCAUGUGCGGCUCUUUGUGACCCCAUGGACUGCAGCACACCAGGCUCCUCUGUCCAUGGGGAUUCUCCAAGCAAGAAUACUGGAGUUGCCAUGCCCUUCUCAAGAG